GGCCACAGUGGCAUCUGUCACGAGCUGACCAGCUGGGUAUGAGUCCUGUCCCUCCUUCCGGAGAGACGGAGAGCUCCUAGAAGCAGCGCCUCCCAGCAGAAGCAGAAUCUUGCCCUGGGGAGGAGUACAGCUCAGAACCCGCAGACUCGGGGUCAAAUCCCAGCUCUGUGACUUUCUUGAUGCGUGACCUUGGGAGGCAGCUUUGCUGCCCUGAGCCCUGUUUCCUCCCCGGAAAACCCAUAAUAAUAACUGUACCUCUUCCAGUGAGGAGACAAGGUGGAAUAGAACGCAGAGCCCACGUGUGCCUGGCACUUGGCAAGUACACCGGGAAGAAGGAAUUGGGAAGGGCAGGAGUUACAUCAUUCACCUGUUUACAGCUGAGCAAACUAGCGGAGGCUCGGCGAGGUGAAGCCAGUCCCCCAAGGUCACACAGCCGGCCGGCCGGCCGCAGGACAGGGGCCGAAGACGUAGUUGUCUGACCUGUGCUCUAACCACUGUGCUCUCUGGCCUCAAGCCGGCUCCCACACUACCCUUCCCUGUUCUCCGUGGCCCUCCAGCGCCUGAAAGCCGCUUGGGGGCCGCGGAGGCAGGUGGCAUGGCCAGGGCAGAGUCCGCGGGGCGGAAAGGGUUAACGGGCUCCGCCGCAUUGGGCUGUCCUUCAAGGGGGGAGCCAGCCAAUGAGCGCGCGCCGCGAUGAGAAGCAAGGUCUCGCUGUGUUACCCUGGCUGGAGUGCAGUGGCUACUUACAGGCAUGAUCAUAGCAUACUGCAGCCUCGAACUCCUGGACUAGAGCAGUUCUCCUGCCUCAGCCUCCAGAGCAGCUGGGACUGCAGACACGCACCACAGAGCCCAGCCUGAGUCAUUUUGAUUCUGUAACUGGCUUCCUCUCGGCGGGCAGGCUCACACCCUCCACCCCCAGCUGGAGAUGGAAGGAGGAUGCUCACCGCCCAUUCCUCAUGCAGGCCAUCGAUGGAAAUGUCAGACAGUGCGAGUCCACGCCUGAACACUUCUGGGGUCCGCUCUGGGACUGACACUGGCAGAUCCAUCGUGGCACCCGAGCUCUGUGAGGGCAAGACUUUGUUCGGUUGUGGGCUAUGCCCCCAACCCCUCGGACAGUGCCUGCACAGGUGGACAUUUUUGUUGGAUGAAGGAUUUUCUGUUAAAUGUGUCUGGCACACACAGAAAAACAAAGCCCAGCAGAUGCCGUUCCAUUGUUUGCUGACUUUCAUUGAUUCUAUGAGAAGUCUGCAGUCUUUUGCAGCGUUGUUUUCCUAUGUAUAAUUGUCUCCUCCCACCCCACUCACCCCAGCUGCUUUCCACAUUCUCUCUCUUUGAUUUUCAGCAGUCUGCCCAUGAUGUGCCUAAAUAGGACUUUCUUUGCAUUCAUCUUGGCUGGGGCUCACUGAACUUUCUGAAUCUGUAGAUUAAUUUUCUUUUUUCAAUAAACCUUGGAAUAUUUUCAGC
ensembl:lncRNA LINC00963 long intergenic non-protein coding RNA 963